UUUUUAUUUGCAUCUGGAGAUUGGCACAACAUGAAGAGUUAUAGAAAUAUGAAUACAAGUUUCUGCAAGAGAAGACCCAUCUGGACUGAGAUUUCUGUCUCAUCAAAAAUCUGAGACGACAUGUAUUCAUCAUGUACCAGUUAGGAAAUGUUAAACCCAUGAACUCUUGACUGGCUGUGUUCUGCAGAUGAAGACAGUAUUUUGUGAUUCGUUCUCUCCAGGUCUUUUUAAAACAUUUCUGCUUCCCUGGGAUGAAGUGAAUCAUGACAAGAGUUUAUUUUUCCUUGUCCGUGGUGCAGUCUGUGCAUCUAACUGGAAGGGGAUUAUCAACAGAACAAUCCUUUUUCACAUCACAAACUUUGGCUGCAUUGUGCCAAAACAAAAUUGAUCCCUUUUUCUUUAUUCUUUAUGUAUCAGUAAUAAUAUUUGCAGUCUGUUUAAAAUAAAUCCUCAAACACA